rnacentral:rRNA from 1 species
UGGGGAAUUUUGCACAAUGGGGGAAACCCUGAUGCAGCGACGCCGCGUGAUUUAGAAGUCCUUCGGGUUGUAAAAAUCUUUUCUAUGGGAAGAAAAUGACAGUACCAUAGGAAUAAGGACCGGCUAAUUACGUGCCAGCAGCCGCGGUAAUACGUAAGGUCCGAGCGUUGUCCGGAAUCAUUGGGCGUAAAGGGUACGUAGGCGGGUAAGCAAGUUAGAAGUGAAAUCCUAUAGCUCAACUAUAGUAAGCUUUUAAAACUGCUCAUCUUGAGGUAUGGAAGGGAAAGUGGAAUUCCUAGUGUAGCGGUGAAAUGCGCAGAUAUUAGGAGGAAUACCGGUGGCGAAGGCGACUUUCUGGCCAUAACCUGACGCUGAGGUACGAAAGCGUGGGUAGCAAACAGG